AGCCGGCCUCUGUACCUUCCCGCGGUUGGCGCCCUUCACCGUGCUGCAAGAAACGUCCUUAAUCUCUUCCAUCCCUGGCCUGCUGGAGGUUCCCGGAACCCUUCAUGGAUCCCCGCCCACUCUCCACUCGCACGGUCAGUGUCUCUCCCUCCCUGGGCGGCGGUGACGGUGCUGCUCGCCGGCGAGGCCUUGCUGUCGGACCACAGUGAUGUGAUGUGAGGCGGUGUGAGGAUAUCGGGCCCAGUGGACAACAUCGUUGGGAGCUCGCAGGUCACAGGUUGGUGACCUGUUUUUCCGGAGCACCCACAACAACAGCUGCGUCCACUGGACUGGACGUCGGCAGCUUCGACCACACCGGGCCGCGGAGUUUGAACUGGCCCGUUCGCGGAGCUGGAUUCAGCCGCGGGACUGAUAUUUCUUACCAUCGCCCGGCGGGGUAACAACAUCGGAGGCCUGGAUCGCCUCAACGCAGAGGGAGAACAAGGAGGGAAGAGACAGGGUCUUUAAGACUUUUGCCUUCCAUCACAGUGAGGAGGUGCCUGGUGAACUCACUGGUGGAUGUUAAAUUUUGUGUUUAUUGUGUGUUUUUAUCAUUUUUAUUAUAUGCAUGACUGCAAGGCAACAAAAUUCCGUUCAGACCGAAAGGUCUGAAUGACAAAAAUAAAAUUCAAUUCUAUUCAAUAGUGCUAGUGUGUGGGGAUUGCUGGUCAGUGCAGAAUUGAAGGGCCUGUUUCCAUGCUGCAUCUCUGAAUUAAACUAAACAAGUGAUUCCAUUGACUUACAUAUUUAUAAUGGGACCGCAUCUCGACUGACGAGCACCUCCGAAUAUUCAAAAACCUUUGUUGGGACAAAGUAAUUUACGUGGAUAGUCAGCGACCUUUUGAGCACAAGACGCCAGCCACUCAAAAUAUACUCUUAUCACCAUAUACCCAUUGGAAACAUUAAUAACCCAAGUGUUGAUUGGCAUGUGCCUGUGACAAUGUUUGAUGUGCUAAAUGAUCAAAUAAUCACUGGAACUUUCACAAUGCACAAACUAUCCAAGCCGAAGAUGUCAGUGGUUGGAUGCAGAUUAAUUAACAUAGUUCUACAGUCUGCAUCUGCAGACAAGAAUAUCUCGUGGUCAGGUCAGUUUACAAACUAGAUCUCUUGAGCAGUCUCCUGCUGUGGGCCAGAGGCCAGUGUUCUGUACGCCGUGCUGUUUAUUCAUGCAGCUGUCCUUCUCAUUUCACUGCUGGUUACUGCUUGUAGUUUACAUUUCAAUGGAGUGUUUCAUUGUCAGCAGCAUACAGGUCACAGUACUCAUAGUCACGAGUGUUUAAUUGUCAUAUGUUCCAAAACAGAACAACUAAACUUUUACUUGCUCCAGCUCAACAGGUCACUCACUAAUCACUGGUAUUCAACUUUUAAAUAUUUGAGAAGGAACUGCAGAUGCUGGAAAAAUCAAAGGUAGACAAAAAAAUGCUGGAGCAGCAUCCAUGGAGCGAAGGAAUUGGUGCCGUUUCGGGAAGAAGGGUCUCAACCCGAAACGUCACCUAUUUCCUUCGCUCCAUAGAUGCUGCCUCACCCGCUGAGUUUCUCCAGCAUUUUUAUCUACCUUACUUUUAAAUAUAAUUAUUUUGUUGAGUUACGGCUUGCAGCUAUAUUUGUAAUAUUAUUUAAAUUGUUGGUUGUGAUUUUUCCGGCCUGAUGAGUUCAAUACAAGAGAAAUUCCAUCCCUGCACCCAAAGAACGGUCAUGAGCGCAAAAUGUGAAAUAGGAACAUAAAGGUACCGAUUCCAAUGUAAGAACAUAAAAAAACAUGAACAGGGUUGGGCCAUUUGACCAAAGGAAACUAAUAAAAUAUUAGAAUUAAACAGCAA